rnacentral:rRNA from 1 species
CAGUCGCCGCGGUAAUACGAAGGGUGCAAGCGUUACUCGGAAUUACUGGGCGUAAAGCGUGCGUAGGUGGUUGUUUAAGUCUGCUGUGAAAGCCCUGGGCUCAACCUGGGAAUUGCAGUGGAUACUGGGCGACUAGAGUAAGGUAGAGGAUAGUGGAAUUUCCGGUGUAGCAGUGAAAUGCGUAGAUAUAGGAAGGAACAUCAGUGGCGAAGGCGACCACCUGGACUGAUACUGACACUGAGGUGCGAAAGCGUGGGGAGCAAACAGGAUUAGAUACCCCUGUAGUCCCUGUCUCUUAUAC